GCGGCUGUAGUUUAGUGGUAAAACUCCACUCUUCCAAAGUGGUCUCGAGAGUUCGAUUCUCUCCAGCCGCACCA
rnacentral:tRNA from 7 species